AUUGAACGCUGGCGGCAUGCCUUACACAUGCAAGUCGAACGGUAACAGGUCUUCGGAUGCUGACGAGUGGCGAACGGGUGAGUAAUACAUCGGAACGUGCCUAGUAGAGGGGGAUAACGCAUCGAAAGGUGUGCUAAUACCGCAUACGUACUGAGGUAGAAAGUGGGGGACCUUCGGGCCUCAUGCUAUUCGAGCGGCCGACGUCUGAUUAGCUAGUUGGUGAGGUAAAGGCUCACCAAGGCGACGAUCAGUAGCGGGUCUGAGAGGAUGAUCCGCCACACUGGGACUGAGACACGGCCCAGACUCCUACGGGAGGCAGCAGUGGGGAAUUUUGGACAAUGGGCGCAAGCCUGAUCCAGCCAUGCCGCGUGUCUGAAGAAGGCCUUCGGGUUGUAAAGGACUUUUGUCCGGGAGCAAAUGCCUGGUGUUAAUAGCACUGGGAGCUGAGAGUACCGGAAGAAUAAGCACCGGCUAACUACGUGCCAGCCGCCGCGGUAAUAC
rnacentral:rRNA from 1 species